GCGACAGCCAAGUUCCGCGGCUUUCCAUUUCUCGUCCAAUCGGAAGUUUCUGGUGCAGAACGGGACCAAUCAGGGGAGAGGGAGCGUGGAGCCGUUCCCCCAGUCUUAAAGCGGGGUCGUGUUUAAGGCCCGGCUCCAGGCCGACGGUGGAGAGUCGAAGAGGGGUGUGUGUGUUAAAAAAAACGCUCCUUCGCGGAAGGAGGGCCUGGUUAUGGCUGCGUCCAGCCGAUAGCUGGCUUUUACACUUCCGGCUAUGUCCAGUCGAGCAGUCUGGGAACGCGUCCGAGCGAGGGUGCAGCGCUUCCCUGAACUGCUGGCGAGUUGCGGGGAGCAGGCAAAAAAGAAUGUAAAGACUUGAAAUGGAUACUGAUGGCAAAUCUGGGAUUUAUAGUUGUUUUCAGCACAGAAGAAUAAAGAACUUUUCCAUCUGUCGUUAUAUUGAGAUCCAGAAAUGGAAUAUUUCCCAAUGUGCCAAAAGCUAAUGGCUUUUCAAUUUAUGCAUGUGUGUUCUGUAAGCACAUUCUGGAAAACUUUUUUUAAAUGUAAA